AUAAUCGCUAGUGUUCGAAAGAACACUCACAAGAUUAAUAACGCGUUUCCACGAUAUGCUUUGGGGAGCUGUAAGUAAGCUUUGAUCCAGAGAUUUCCGAAUGGGGAAACCCAGCAUGAGUUAUGUCAUGUUAUCGAUAUGUGAAUACAUAGCAUAUCAGAAGGCACACCCGGAGAACUGAAACAUCUUAGUACCCGGAGGAAGAGAAAGAAAAUUCGAUUCCCUUAGUAGCGGCGAGCGAAACGGGAAGAGCCCAAACCAACAAGCUUGCUUGUUGGGGUUGUAGGACACUCUAUACGGAGUUACAAAGGACGACAUUAGACGAAUCAUCUGGAAAGAUGAAUCAAAGAAGGUAAUAAUCCUGUAGUCGAAAAUGUUGUCUCUCUUGAGUGGAUCCUGAGUACGACGGAGCACGUGAAAUUCCGUCGGAAUCUGGGAGGACCAUCUCCUAAGGCUAAAUACUCUCUAGUGACCGAUAGUGAACCAGUACCGUGAGGGAAAGGUGAAAAGCACCCCGGAAGGGGAGUGAAAUAGAACCUGAAACCGUGUGCUUACAAGUAGUCAGAGCCCGUUAAUGGGUGAUGGCGUGCCUUUUGUAGAAUGAACCGGCGAGUUACGAUUUGAUGCAAGGUUAAGCAGUAAAUGUGGAGCCGUAGCGAAAGCGAGUCUGAAUAGGGCGUUUAGUAUUUGGUCGUAGACCCGAAACCAGGUGAUCUACCCUUGGUCAGGUUGAAGUUCAGGUAACACUGAAUGGAGGACCGAACCGACUUACGUUGAAAAGUGAGCGGAUGAACUGAGGGUAGCGGAGAAAUUCCAAUCGAACCUGGAGAUAGCUGGUUCUCUCCGAAAUAGCUUUAGGGCUAGCCUCAAGUGAUGAUUAUUGGAGGUAGAGCACUGUUUGGACGAGGGGCCCCUCUCGGGUUACCGAAUUCAGACAAACUCCGAAUGCCAAUUAAUUUAACUUGGGAGUCAGAACAUGGGUGAUAAGGUCCRUGUUCGAAAGGGAAACAGCCCAGACCACCAGCUAAGGUCCCAAAAUAUAUGUUAAGUGGAAAAGGAUGUGGCGUUGCCCAGACAACUAGGAUGUUGGCUUAGAAGCAGCCAUCAUUUAAAGAGUGCGUAAUAGCUCACUAGUCGAGUGACACUGCGCCGAAAAUGUACCGGGGCUAAACAUAUUACCGAAGCUGUGGAUUGUCCUUUGGACAAUGGUAGGAGAGCGUUCUAAGGGCGUUGAAGCAUGAUCGUAAGGACAUGUGGAGCGCUUAGAAGUGAGAAUGCCGGUGUGAGUAGCGAAAGAYGGGUGAGAAUCCCGUCCACCGAUUGACUAAGGUUUCCAGAGGAAGGCUCGUCCGCUCUGGGUUAGUCGGGUCCUAAGCUGAGGCCGACAGGCGUAGGCGAUGGAUAACAGGUUGAUAUUCCUGUACCACCUAUAAUCGUUUUAAUCGAUGGGGGGACGCAGUAGGAUAGGCGAAGCGUGCGAUUGGAUUGCACGUCUAAGCAGUAAGGCUGAGUAUUAGGCAAAUCCGGUACUCGUUAAGGCUGAGCUGUGAUGGGGAGAAGACAUUGUGUCUUCGAGUCGUUGAUUUCACACUGCCGAGAAAAGCCUCUAGAUAGAAAAUAGGUGCCCGUACCGCAAACCGACACAGGUAGUCAAGAUGAGAAUUCUAAGGUGAGCGAGCGAACUCUCGUUAAGGAACUCGGCAAAAUGACCCCGUAACUUCGGGAGAAGGGGUGCUCUUUAGGGUUAACGCCCAGAAGAGCCGCAGUGAAUAGGCCCAAGCGACUGUUUAUCAAAAACACAGGUCUCUGCUAAACCGUAAGGUGAUGUAUAGGGGCUGACGCCUGCCCGGUGCUGGAAGGUUAAGAGGAGUGGUUAGCUUCUGCGAAGCUACGAAUCGAAGCCCCAGUAAACGGCGGCCGUAACUAUAACGGUCCUAAGGUAGCGAAAUUCCUUGUCGGGUAAGUUCCGACCCGCACGAAAGGCGUAACGAUUUGGGCACUGUCUCAACGAGAGACUCGGUGAAAUCAUAGUACCUGUGAAGAUGCAGGUUACCCGCGACAGGACGGAAAGACCCCGUGGAGCUUUACUGUAGCCUGAUAUUGAAAUUCGGCACAGCUUGUACAGGAUAGGUAGGAGCCUUUGAAACGUGAGCGCUAGCUUACGUGGAGGCGCUGGUGGGAUACUACCCUAGCUGUGUUGGCUUUCUAACCCGCACCACUUAUCGUGGUGGGAGACAGUGUCAGGCGGGCAGUUUGACUGGGGCGGUCGCCUCCUAAAAGGUAACGGAGGCGCUCAAAGGUUYCCUCAGAAUGGUUGGAAAUCAUUCAUAGAGUGUAAAGGCAUAAGGGAGCUUGACUGCGAGACCUACAAGUCGAGCAGGGUCGAAAGACGGACUUAGUGAUCCGGUGGUUCCGCAUGGAAGGGCCAUCGCUCAACGGAUAAAAGCUACCCCGGGGAUAACAGGCUUAUCUCCCCCAAGAGUUCACAUCGACGGGGAGGUUUGGCACCUCGAUGUCGGCUCAUCGCAUCCUGGGGCUGUAGUCGGUCCCAAGGGUUGGGCUGUUCGCCCAUUAAAGCGGUACGCGAGCUGGGUUCAGAACGUCGUGAGACAGUUCGGUCCCUAUCCGUCGUGGGCGUAGGAAAUUUGAGAGGAGCUGUCCUUAGUACGAGAGGACCGGGAUGGACAUACCUCUGGUGUACCAGUUGUCGUGCCAACGGCAUAGCUGGGUAGCUAUGUGUGGACGGGAUAAGUGCUGAAAGCAUCUAAGCAUGAAGCCCCCCUCAAGAUGAGAUUUCCCAACUUCGGUUAU
rnacentral:rRNA from 1 species